UUCCCCCUGAGGCUCAGCCAAUCUUAUAGCUGGUGCAAACAAAAUGGAGGAAGAAGGAAGGACGGUAUGGUUGGAGAGGCAGUUUGUGAGAUCUGAGAGCGCUGAAUUGUUCCCAAGGAUUUUGAACCUGUUCUUCUGCUUCAGAAAGAGACCCAUUGAUGAGUCAAGGUUUUCAGGGCACUGGGUUGAUAAAGACAGCCAUGGGCCACCAACAGAAAACCUGACAAGCCUCACUGGCUAAACUGGACCAGUUACUGGGAACUAGACAGGCUGAUGUCCAUGGAUAUAGACAAGUCAAUUAUUAGCUGUCUUCUCUCCUCCUUGCUGAAGAAAGAGAGAAACUUAGUGAAAGCAGAGGAGAUAAAUUGAUUAUAAAAGAAUAAAAGAUCCAGAAAUUUCCAUUUGGAUUUGAACACUUACAAGUUAUGAUACAUGUCUUAAACAAUUUCACAUAUGAAAUAAAGUUUAUAUGUUUUUUCCACAUUGAUUUAUUACGCCUAUUUCUGUUGGAUUUUAC
rnacentral:lncRNA from 1 species